UACGUAGGGGGCGAGCGUUAUCCGGAUUUACUGGGCGUAAAGGGUGCGUAGGUUGUUAUUUAAGUUCUUGGUGUAAGUGCAGUGCUCAACGCUGUGAUGCUAAGGAAACUGAAUAGCUAGUGUUAGAUAGAGGCAAGUGGAAUUCCAUGUGUAGCGGUAAAAUGCGUAAAUAUAUGGAGGAACACCAGUGGCGAAGGCGGCUUGCUGGGUCUUAACUGACGCUGAGGCACGAAAGCGUGGGGAGCAAACCGG
rnacentral:rRNA from 1 species